CCUACGGGAGGCAGCAGUGGGGAAUCUUGCGCAAUGGGCGAAAGCCUGACGCAGCAACGCCGCGUGCGGGAAGAAGGCUUUCGGGCUGUAAACCGCUUUCAGCAGGAACGAAAAUGACGGUACCUGCAGAAGAAGGAGCGGCCAACUAUGUGCCAGCAGCCGCGGUGAUACAUAGGCUUCAAGCGUUGUCCGGAUUUAUUGGGCGUAAAGAGUUCGUAGGCGGUCGAGUAAGUCGGGUGUGAAAAUUCUGGGCUCAACCCAGAGACGCCACCCGAUACUGCUUGACUUGAGUUCGAUAGGGGAGUGGGGAAUUCCUAGUGUAGCGGUGAAAUGCGCAGAUAUUAGGAGGAACACCGGUGGCGAAGGCGCCACUCUGGAUCGAUACUGACGCUGAGGAACGAAAGCAUGGGUAGCAAACAGGAUUAGAUACCCUGGUAGUCCAUGCCGUAAACGGUGGGCACUAGGUGUGGGUUUCUAUUAACGAAAUCCGCGCCGUCGCUAACGCAUUAAGUGCCCCGCCUGGGGAGUACGGUCGCGAAGACUAAAACUCAAAUGAAUUGACGG
rnacentral:rRNA from 1 species